UGCCAGCCGCCGCGGUAAUACGGAGGGUGCAAGCGUUGUUCGGAAUCACUGGGCGUAAAGGGCGCGUAGGCGGCGACAUAAGCUUGGUGUGAAAGGCUCUGGCUCAACCAGAGAAACGCGCUGGGAACUGUGUUGCUUGAGUCUUGGAGGGGAAGUAGGAAUUCCUGGUGGAGGGGUGAAAUCUGUAGAUAUCAGGAAGAACACCAGUGGCGAAGGCGAACUUCUGGCCAAAGACUGACGCUGAGGCGCGAAAGCGUGGGGAGCGAACAGGAUUAGAUA
rnacentral:rRNA from 1 species